rnacentral:lncRNA from 1 species
CAAUACGUGGUAUUUUAUAAAUAAAAUUCUUAAAAAUUCUAUUCUCGGAAAGUUGUCAAUUUAUAAAGAAAUAUUGUAGAUUUGAAACUGUGAUUUAGAAAUUAGGAUAACAAGAAUUUUUGUUAAUAUAUGAGUAUUGUUUUAGAAUUUUUGGAUGAUAGGUUGUAUUUUUUAAAUAAAAGUCUCACAAAUUCUAUUCAUGGAAAGUUUUCAUUUUUAUACAAAAUAUUUUAGAUUUGGGAUUAUGAAUUGGAAAAUAGGAUAACAAGAAUUUUUGUUGAUAGAUGAGUAUUGUUUUAGAUUUUUUUUUAUCAAUAGGUGGUAUUUUAAAAAUAAAAUUCUUAAAAAUUCUAUUUUAGGAAAGUUUUCAUUUUUAUUGGUAAAUAUUGUAGAUUUGAGACUGUGAUUUAGAAAAUAUGAUAACAAGAAUUUUUGUUGAUAUAUGAGUAUUGUUUUAGAUUUUUUGGGUGAUAGGCUGUAUUUUUAAAAUAAAAUUCUCAAAAAUUCUAUUUUUGGAAAGUUUUCAUUUUUAUAGAGAAAUAUUUUAGAUUUGGGAUUGUGAAUUACAAAAUAGGAUAACAAGAAUUUUUGUUGAUAUAUGAGUAUUGUUUUAGAUUUUUUGGGUGAUAGGCUGUAUUUUUAAAAUAAAAUUCUCAAAAAUUCUAUUUUUGGAAAGUUUUCAUUUUUAUAGAGAAAUAUUUUAGAUUUGGGAUUGUGAAUUAGAAAAUAGGAUAACAAGAAUUUUUGUUGAUAUAUGAGUAUUGUUUUAGAUUUUUUGGGUGAUAGGCUGUAUUUUUAAAAUAAAAUUCUCAAAAAUUCUAUUUUUGGAAAGUUUUCAUUUUUAUAGAGAAAUAUUUUAGAUUUGGGAUUGUGAAUUAGAAAAUAGGAUAACAAGAAUUUUUGUUGAUAGAUGAGUAUUGUUUUAGAUUUUUUUAUCAAUAGCUUGUA